rnacentral:rRNA from 1 species
GUGUCAGCAGCCGCGGUAAUACGGAGGAUCCAAGCGUUAUCCGGAUUCAUUGGGUUUAAAGGGUGCGUAGGCGGAAUGAUAAGUCAGUGGUGAAAUCUCUUAGCUUAACUAAGAAACUGCCAUUGAUACUGUCAAUCUUGAGUACAUUUGAUGUGGGCGGAAUGUGUCAUGUAGCGGUGAAAUGCUUAGAUAUGACACAGAACACCGAUUGCGAAGGCAGCUCACAAAACUGUAACUGACGCUGAGGCACGAAAGCGUGGGUAUCAAACAGGAUUAGAUACCCUAGUAGUCC